GGAGUACUCAGACACAGGUAUGCAGUGUAACAGCAGCUAGGGGGCUGCUGGCACUAGUGGCUGAAGAAAAGAGCAGUCUCGAACAGCUGGAGCUGCUUAUUCAAUACACACAUAAUGCUGAAAGCCUGGAGCAAACACAAUCUGUGGGUAAUUAACAUUAUUGUUGCCCCUUUCAGAGAGCAGUCACACACGUGGAUGAUCAAAGGUCAUUUCCUGGACAACAAAAGUAAACAAGCCUAUUUAAGAUAAAUCCCCCUACACUCCGUUGUACCUAUUCCUCACCCUCUGCCUCAGGGUAGGAGAAUAGCUGCCUUCAGCUUAUUCUCCCCCAAAGCUAUGCAGAGUCUUCCAAUCUUUCAGAAGGCCUGCUCCUUUCCCUAUAGCUUCUCCCACCACUCUGACUGAUCCCCCACACACCUGCACCCAAGCAUCCUGUUUCAAGCAUUUAGCCCAAGCAGCAUGACCCUUUAAAAACUCCUCUAGUCUCCACUUCGUCGCAGACCUUCCCUCUGCUGUUUUGCCCAUUGCUCUCUUGCAAUAUAUCUCCCCUUUCUCUAAUAUAUCUGCCUUUCUAAACUUAUGACUGUCUUGGUAAAUUCUUUUACCGCCCAUGCUGGCCUCAGGCAGUCAUUGACCAUGACAUUUUGGUAGCCUGUACAGGGAACCUCUCUACAGGAGACUCUCUCCCCUCUUCCUUUCUGUCUUCCCACUCAGGAUCCUCUGUGGACAGCACCCAAGAUGGAAACAACUGACAGUCUAUGGCCAGGGCUAUACUCUGGUGAAACUGAAAGGUGUCUGCAUGGAAGUGUCUGACUACCACCAUCCACUCAGGCAAAUGCAUUUGUUUCCCUCUAUUCAUUAUUAGAAGAGAGGAGAUUACAUACCAGACAUAUACCAAUAGGUUUUCUCUUCAUAAUACCUACGUCAUCUAGUAGCAUAACAUAAGGCAGAAUCCUUCAAAGGUUGACUCCUAGAGAUGGAAGAGCUGUAAGCAGAGACAGAAAAGUAUGUUUUCACACAAACUCUUUGGCUCAUUAGCAGAUGGCAGCAAUGAGCCAAUAAAAUAUAUUUUUCUCCUUUGAGUACUUUAUAUACUACUUAUCCUUGCCACUUAACACCAUCAUUAAUUUUAAAGUAGAAUGUGUUUAUUAAAAUGUCUUUAUUGAUUUAGGUGAAAAAUAUAAUUUCUCUCAGUCCUCCAAAAAUUAGAUCCAUUUUCACAUAAUUCA
rnacentral:lncRNA from 1 species